GUGCCAGCAGCCGCGGUAACACGUACUGUGCGAACGUUAUUCGGAAUCACUGGGCUUAAAGGGUGCGUAGGCGGCGAUUCAAGUCAGAUGUGAAAUGCCUGAGCUCAACUGAGGCAUUGCGUUUGAAACUGAACCGCUAGAGUAUUUCAGGGGUGUGCGGAACUGCCAGUGGAACGGUGAAAUGUGUUGAUAUUGGCAGGAACACCGGAGGCGAAAGCGGCACACUGGGGAAUAACUGACGCUGAGGCACGAAAGCCAAGGGAGCGAACGGGAUUAGAAACCCCUGUAGUCC
rnacentral:rRNA from 1 species